CCAGUUCAGGUAUUUACAUUGAGAACUAGAGAGAUAAACUUCAUUUGGCACCUUGUGAUCUAUCAGACAGUGUUUCCAUAUAGAUAAAAUUAAAGAGAUUAACAGCUCUGGUAUCAAUAGGAUGAUGCUCCUGCCGAUAAUCAUACUUUUAGCUGUUUCCCCUGUCAGGUCCCAGUCUUCAAGCAUUUCAUCCUUUUUCAGCUCAAUAAGCAACUUGCUAGUUUCUGCAUUACAACUCAGCGAGCAAAUCAGCAGUGGGAUAUCUGUUACUGAACCGACACAGACCAAUGAUACGACAGCAUCUUAUACUUACAACAAUAACCAAAGUCAACCAACCAGUACCCAACUGACAUCUUCUAGCCCAAAUAACAAUACCCUGUCAGUAAAUACCAGUAUCCCAGUGAACAACUCCAGUACAGGAACCAGUACCCAAUCAGUACCACCCAGUAUCCCAGUGACCAACUCCAGUGCAGGAACCAGUACCCAAUCAGUACCACCCAGUAUCCAAGUGACCAACUCCAGUACAAGAAUCAGUACCCAAUCAGUACCAACCAGUAUCCCAGUGACCAACUCCAGUACAGGAAUCAGUACCCAAUCAGUACCACCCAGUAUCCCAGUGACCAACUCCAGUACAGGAAUCAGUACCCAAUCUGUACCACCCAGUAUCCCAGUAACCAACUCCAGUACAGGAACCAGUAACCUGUCAGGACAAGCCAACGUCUCAGUUACCAAAUUCAGUACCUUAUUCCAACCAAGCGGAAACAACUUCAUAACUUUAUAUAUAACCUCAGCAGGAGUCAUUGAUGAUUUUCCACUGUGGACCACAGUCCUUGUCUCUCUGGCAGUCAUAAAUAUGCCCCAGUUUUAGCAAGAGCCUUCUCUAUACAACAUCAGCUGGAGCUAUUGAUACAUUUCCAUGGUUGAAUAUGAUCCUUAUUGCUCUGGCUGUUAUAAUCGUGCCCCAGGAUUAGCAGGUGCCUUCUUCCCUGUGCUGACAAUAUAGAAAUCACACCGGCAACCAGUUAAAGUGGUGAAAACUUGACUCAACCGUCCUGUUGUGUGUCCCUGUGCGCCACACUAAGCAUGGAGAAGAGAAAGAGACGCAAAGAAUUGUCUGAGGAAUUGAGAACAAAAAUUGUGGAAAAGCAUGGACAAUCUCAAGGUUACAAGUCCAUCUCCAGAGAUCUUAAUAUUCCUGUGUCCACUGUGCGCAACAUUGUCAAGAAGUUUACAGCCCAUGGCACUGUAGCUAAUCUCCCUGUACGUGGACUAUUUUGUGAUACCUUCCAAGAAUUCUUCCUGAGGGCCCAGGCUUCAGGUUGCUUAUGUGAUCUCUGGACAUUCAUACAAUCUUGUGUAUAUUAUUAACUGAUAAAUUAAUCUAUCAGAGGCA